rnacentral:rRNA from 1 species
ACUGGCCGGCGCCUGCCGAUCAAC